CAACUUUUUUCGAAUGUAUUCGGCUGCUUGGACCAUACCCUUGUGACCCAACCAGUCGUCUCUCGGUGGUGACAAUGGUAACACUUCACCCUCCGCGUUCAAGUCCGUUAAUACAUCCUUCAUGCUGAGGGUACCUCGUAUACUAACGACAACCUUGAAAAGAGGCAGCAGAAAAUUGGUGAUUAACCGUUCUCAAGUUCGCUCGAGGAUAAAAAGCACCUCUUAAAUCUUAUCUUGAAAAUUAAAAUCUUCUAUGAAAUUUUAAUAAGUGCUAAACUAUUGAUUUUCAAUUAUCUCGAUCCAUUUCUUCAUUAUGCUAAAAUCCUCGAGUUCACUUUAACACAUUUAAUAGAUUCAUAUUUUUAAUAGAUGAGAUAAGAUCGGAUUAAAUUGGAUUAUUCGAUUAUCGUUUUGUCCAAUCGUUAUUAAAAAUUAUUCAAAGAUACUUAAGUGCACGCUAAACUCGAGAAGAGUUUAACAAAAUUAAACAAAAUAAUGCAAUUUAUUCAUUACAGAUAAAAUGAUCUUUGUACGAUUCUUUACAUUUAUUUAUACGUAAUAGCAUCUCACGGAUUUCGCUGUGACGAAGUUUAAUAGCUGUUGAAAAAUUCAUGAAGUCGCUAAACGAAGUUCAUUUAUUUUACAAUUAAGCGGACAAAAUUCCAGUUUGCUUUUAACCUCUCGGGAUGCUUAACGUGCUCCGUUUAAGGAUUGCAAUUUUCAUCGAAUCGUCGCAGCGAAUAUAUCGUGAUGAAGCUUUUUUGCGAGCACGUCGUAAGAAGCUUUCGACGUAAUCUCUGCUCUAUAUCUAAUCGUCUUUCUUUCUUUUUUUUCUCUUUUCGACGUUUCUUGGGCAAACGCGGUUCGAUGCAUGCGAAUCAAUGAGGAAACGCGCGAAACCUUUUUCUUCGUGUAAUCGAGAGCGACGAAGAACGGCGUCUCACCGACGUCGACGUGAAAAGUCGCAUAAAUGACCUCCACCUCGGCGACGUCGACCAUCUUUCUCAACGCCACGUAAUUGCACUGGCAACAAUUGUCUUCCACAACGGUCGCCUCGUCUUCGUUGCCACCGCACGGGAAACAGCCGCAUCGUAAUCUGUCACAGAGAGAAUUCCAUCCAACUUAUUUUAUUCAAAGAUCCUUUUACCACCGCGGGCGUUAAUUAAGAACCACGCGAAACAUCGUUGAAAAUCAAUCGAUGCCAAUGCACCCACAAGGCCGCGACACGUGUAUGUGUGUGUCGCUGUAACUCGGUGGUAUUACCUUGUGCACAGCUGACAAAGACCGGUGGAAUGAUUAACGAGGAACAUGGGCCAGCCAUAAGCAGCGAGGGCAAAGUGCAUGUAAUGAAUGGCCAACUGAAAGUGGCCCAGAUCACCAUCCUCGGUCAAGGACAAGAAUUUAGUGCGAGGAGUAACUGGCACACCGGAUAGAAACUCGUACGUAUCGUUCUUCCGUUGCUUCACUAUCAGCUCCCGCUCGAUUUUCUGGAACUUUCUCAAUAGCACCAAACCGGCGACCACAUCUGAUGGGACGACGUCAAGAUCACGGAAGAAAUCGCUCAAUAAUCUGGCGAUGUCCGCGAACGAAUUCUGAUAAAUAAAUAUCUCAUAAAUAAAUAUCGUUUUCCUUGGAAAUAUCAAA